UACGUAGGUGGCAAGCGUUGUCCGGAUUUACUGGGCGUAAAGGAUGCGUAGGCGGACAUUUAAGUCAGAUGUGAAAUACCCGAGCUUAACUUGGGUGCUGCAUUUGAAACUGGGUGUCUAGAGUGCAGGAGAGGUAAGUGGAAUUUACGGUGUAGCAGUGAAAUGCGUAGAUAUCGUAAGGAAGACCAGUGGCGAAGGCGGAUCUCUGGACAGUUACUGACACUGAGGCACGAAGGCCAGGGGAGCAAACGGG
rnacentral:rRNA from 1 species